rnacentral:rRNA from 1 species
AUUGAACGCUGGCGGCAUGCCUUACACAUGCAAGUCGAACGGCAGCGCGGGGCAACCUGGCGGCGAGUGGCGAACGGGUGAGUAAUAUAUCGGAACGUACCCUGGAGUGGGGGAUAACGUAGCGAAAGUUACGCUAAUACCGCAUACGAUCUAAGGAUGAAAGUGGGGGAUUCGCAAGAACCUCAUGCUCCUGGAGCGGCCGAUAUCUGAUUAGCUAGUUGGUGGGGUAAAGGCCUACCAAGGCAUCGAUCAGUAGCUGGUCUGAGAGGACGACCAGCCACACUGGAACUGAGACACGGUCCAGACUCCUACGGGAGGCAGCAGUGGGGAAUUUUGGACAAUGGGCGAAAGCCUGAUCCAGCAAUGCCGCGUGAGUGAAGAAGGCCUUCGGGUUGUAAAGCUCUUUUGUCAGGGAAGAAACGGUGAGGGCUAAUAUCCUUUGCUAAUGACGGUACCUGAAGAAUAAGCACCGGCUAACUACGUGCCAGCAGCCGCGGUAAUACGUAGGGUGCAAGCGUUAAUCGGAAUUACUGGGCGUAAAGCGUGCGCAGGCGGUUUUGUAAGUCUGUCGUGAAAUCCCCGGGCUCAACCUGGGAAUUGCGAUGGAGACUGCAAGGCUAGAAUCUGGCAGAGGGGGGUAGAAUUCCACGUGUAGCAGUGAAAUGCGUAGAGAUGUGGAGGAACACCGAUGGCGAAGGCAGCCCCCUGGGUCAAGAUUGACGCUCAUGCACGAAAGCGUGGGGAGCAAACAGGAUUAGAUACCCUGGUAGUCCACGCCCUAAACGAUGUCUACUAGUUGUCGGGUUUUAAUUAACUUGGUAACGCAGCUAACGCGUGAAGUAGACCACCUGGGGAGUACGGUCGCAAGAUUAAAACUCAAAGGAAUUGACGGGGACCCGCACAAGCGGUGGAUGAUGUGGAUUAAUUCGAUGCAACGCGAAAAACCUUACCUACCCUUGACAUGUACGGAAGUCCGGAGAGAUCUGGAUGUGCUCGAAAGAGAGCCGUAACACAGGUGCUGCAUGGCUGUCGUCAGCUCGUGUCGUGAGAUGUUGGGUUAAGUCCCGCAACGAGCGCAACCCUUGUCAUUAGUUGCUACGAAAGGGCACUCUAAUGAGACUGCCGGUGACAAACCGGAGGAAGGUGGGGAUGACGUCAAGUCCUCAUGGCCCUUAUGGGUAGGGCUUCACACGUCAUACAAUGGUACAUACAGAGGGCCGCCAACCCGCGAGGGGGAGCUAAUCCCAGAAAGUGUAUCGUAGUCCGGAUUGUAGUCUGCAACUCGACUACAUGAAGUUGGAAUCGCUAGUAAUCGCGGAUCAGCAUGUCGCGGUGAAUACGUUCCCGGGUCU